rnacentral:misc_RNA from 1 species
GAUGAAGAACGUAGUGAAAUGCGAUAAGUAAUGUGAAUUGCAGAAUUCAGUGAAUCAUCGAAUCUUUGAACGCACCUUGCGCCCUUUGGACUUCUGAAAGGCAUGCCUGUUUGAGUAUCAUGAACACCUCAACUCCUUAUGGUCUUCCAUGAUGAGCUUGGACUUUGGGGGUUUUGCUGGCCUACAGUCAGCUCCUCUAAAAUAAAUCAGCUUACCGGUGUUUGGUGGGUAUCAUGGGUGUGAUAACUAUCUACGCUCGUGGUUUUCCACCAGGUAACCUUCAGCAGUGGAGGUUCACUGGAGCUCAUAGAUGUCUCUCCUCAGCGAGGACAGCCCUUUGAAUGUUUGAUCUCAAAUCAGGUAGGACUACCCGCUGAACUUAAGCAUAUCAAUAAGCGGAGGA